rnacentral:rRNA from 1 species
CAAUAGCGUAUAUUAAAGUUGUUGCGGUUAAAAAGCUCGUAGUUGGAUUUCUGCUGAGAACGACCGGUCCGCCCUUUGGGUGUGUAUCUGGCUCUUUCUUGGCAUCUUCUUGGUGAACGUUGCUGCACUUGACUGUGUGGAGCGCUACCCAGGACUUUUACUUUGAGGAAAUUCGAGUGUUUCAAGCAGGCAUACGCCUUGAAUACAUUAGCAUGGAAUAAUAAGAUAGGACCUCGGUUCUAUUUUGUUGGCUUCUAGAGCUGAGGUAAUGAUUAAUAGGGAUAGUUGGGGGCAUUCGUAUUUAACUGUCAGAGGCGAAAUUCUUGGAUUUGUUAAAGACGGACUACUGCGAAAGCAUUUGCCAAGGAUGUUUUCAUUGA